rnacentral:rRNA from 1 species
AAACCAACAGGGAUUGCCUCAGUAACGGCGAGUGAAGCGGCAAAAGCUCAAAUUUGAAAUCCCCCCGGGGAGUUGUAAUUUGAAGAUUGCGUCUUGGAGGCGACCGUGUCUAUGUUCCUUGGAACAGGACGUCACAGAGGGUGAGAAUCCCGUGCGGCACGGCCCCCGGCUCCUUAUAAGGCGCUCUCGACGAGUCGAGUUGUUUGGGAAUGCAGCUCAAAGUGGGUGGUAAAUUCCAUCUAAAGCUAAAUACAGGCGAGAGACCGAUAGCGAACAAGUACAGUGAUGGAAAGAUGAAAAGCACUUUGAAAAGAGAGUGAAACAGCACGUGAAAUUGUUGAAAGGGAAGGGCAUGCCGUCAGAUUGUCAGUGUGGGUAAGAAGCGGGGUACAAAGACUGUGGAACGUGGCCCUCGGGUGUUAUAGCCGCAGUUCAUGCCCCGUCUCUUUCCGAGGCCUGCUUUGAGGACACCGACGUAAUGACGGUACGCCGCCCGUCUUGAAACACGGACCAAGGAGUCUAACGUCUAUGCGAGUGUGUGGGUGUCAAACCCAAACGCGUAAUGAAAGUGAACAGAUGAGUUUCAUCAUCGACCGAUCCUGAAGUGUUCGGAUGGAUUUGAGUAAGAGCAUAGCUGUUGGGACCCGAAAGAUGGUGAACUAUGCCUGAAUAGGGUGAAGCCAGAGGAAACUCUGGUGGAGGCUCGUAGCGGUUCUGACGUGCAAAUCGAUCGU